rnacentral:ncRNA from 1 species
UGCCUAUGAAGCGGCUACUAUGUUGGUGUGUGGCUGUGGAGGUGCUAUUAGGGUUGUGUGGUGAAUAUACUCCAAGUUCCAACUUAGGCUUAAUUGAAAGCUGAAAAUAAAAACACUCAAA